rnacentral:miRNA from 1 species
AUGGUGGGCUGCGGAACAUGUG